CUUCAUUGCUUUGAUUCCCACUUUUCUUCGUCUGUGGAGCUCGGAUUGAUGGCAGUCUUCAUUGCUUUGAUUCCCACUUUUUUCGCUCAGCUUAAUUUGAGCGUCCUGGAUUCAUCGUUUGCUUCGUCUGCUCACAUCAGAAUUAGCUCACUCUUUCCUUCGUUCCCAGCUAACGACGAAUAUCUUGAUUUCGUCGUUGUUUUUUGGUUAUGUUUCUUGUCCUUGGACUUCAGUAUUUCUAUCGUGUUAGCGUUGCAGUGUUCAACGUGACCAAUUUCUGUUCCCCAUCUUGAUGGCCUCCCUCUAGGUGCAGAGACCACUUCAGAUGUUACUUAUCGUUUAUCAUCGGAGACGCAAUUUCAAACUAUCGACGGGCUCUGUGAACGGUCAGUGUAGUUGGACACAUCUAAAAUUUCAAUUGAAGUUACUUGAUUACUUUUAAGAGUUUAAUUUCAACUGGGUGUGGGUUUUCUCUUCAACAGAAUAAAAAAAACUUGUGGUUCGUAUCUGUCGAUGUGUUCUCGGUGGUGGUUGUCAUCGUGUUCUUAGCUUCUUAUUAUGCCCCGUGCAUUUGAUCUACAGUAAGUAUUGACUUAAGCACCCAACGAAGGUAAAUACUAUUAAUUUGGUGGUCAAGCCAAUGAUUGUUUUAGUGAUGCUUUAUAUUGUCUGCUUAAUUAGUGCUCUUUCACUGUGUAUUCCUCAUUUUUUGCUGUAGUGUUUGUUAAGAAAUUUGUGUCUAGUCUAUACUAUGCUCUUGUGUUUCUUUCUACAGGUUCACUUAGUUCUCUUUCUCACUGGACAUACUGUAGCUGCUAACUACCCCAUUUUUAUUCUUCGACGACCACCGUUGCAUUUGCUCUUUGUUUGUCAGGUCAGUUCAUUGGGUCAUGGUUUCGCUUUCAUAAUUUGUUUAUUGUAUUAUUGUUUAAUUUCUACUUAAAUUUGCUUUCACCAAGAGUUGUCAAAUACCAUUGAUUGGCUUGCAACUUUCUUACCACUUCCGUGUAUUUGAAAAAUCAAGGAGAGAGUGUAAUAUUUGUUGUUCUCUUCUUCGAAACAUCAUCUCUCUUCAUCUGCAAAAUCACAAGAUGGGUUUUAUUGCGGCUUCUACGAGGUGGGUUUUUCUCUCUCUCUUAUGCUUUUGUGAAAUUAAUGUAAUUUGAACUACAUGAGUACUCCAUGUUAGUUACUCUAUCAAGGUUAAAGUUUGCUUUGCCUAUUGAUGCUUGAUGUGGGAAUCCUGUCGUUCAAUAUCAGGGUGCUCAUGAGACUAUUACACGCUACAAGCUGAACUGCGUAGAGAGUAAUAUAAUCGGCUUUCAUUAAGUUGUGAAAGACAAGUUAGUUCUUUAAUUAAGCAUUUCUUGACUUUUUGUUAUGGGUUCUUAGUAGUGUGAGUUUAUGAAAAAUGAUAAGCAUAUGUUGUUCUGAUUUCGUACUCAAUGAAUUUCCCACAAUUAAAUAGAUGCUAGAGGUUUCAAUUUUAUUCUUCAAUUGAUGGCGUUAUUUAGCAUUCCUUUUUUCCUUUGAUUCAGCUCUCUAUGUUUCUUCUGGGCAUCUUUAUUCAUAAUCUCGCAAGUCAUUGGGUCUGCCCUUCUUCUUCACGCAUUUAGGUUUGUAACUGGUUAGGUCUCAGACUUCCUCAUUCCUUGUGUCCGUGAAUUGCUAUGUGUUCUUGGUGUGAGCUUCGAUUUUCUACGAUUUGUUGGCAUGAGCUUCGUUUGUUACGGGACGACAGCAUGGCCUUCCAGUAGAUAUGGACUGGAGUGCUCAAUUUGCUGCGGAUUGAGGGUUGGAAUUGCUGUGGGUGACUGGCGUGGUUAAUAGGUUUGGUACCAUCAGGCAGCUGUGGCAAUCAUAAUGUUUUGUGGGUUUUUACCCUGUAACACAAAUGCUUUUAUUACCGCUGUUUUUGCUAUUUUGUUUCAAGUACCAGUACUCAAAUUUAAUCAUGUCCAUCGCCACAAAUAUCCUUUGCUCAGGUAAUCUAUGUCUUUGCUAUUUUGCUUCGAGUACCAAUGCUCAAAUUUCAAUUAUGUCCACUAUCACGAAUCUCUUCCGCAAAAGGUAAUCUCUGUCUGUGCGAUUGCAUUUGGAAUUUUGAUCCUGUUGUGAAUUAUUGUUUUGAAAUUUUAAUUUAAAUUACUGUUACUCGCUUGAGCAUCAUGAUUCGUGUUUUUCUUAAUAUAAGGAUGCGUCAUUUGUCACUAUAGUACUAUAUGCAACAUGACUUGAUGCUUGCUUGGUAAAUUAAAUAGAAUUGUUUGAUGCUUUGCAGUCUAAUUUUUAUCCAUAACAAUGACACAAUGAAUUGACAAGCUAAACAUUUCCGGAAAAUGACAGCUAAGGAACAGGGAUACCUUACCUUGGUCUGACCCCCAACUGCAUUGGCUCACCUCAGGUUCGUCUUUGGGUUGAGUUGUUGUUGUUUACAAGUUGUUUGCCAUUGCGUUUAUUAGACUUUUAUUUGUUGCUUGAGGUAUUUGUCUUACGUUAUCUGAAGUAACCUGAGUCUCCUUUUCACGGGUUUCUCAUUGUUUUGCUUUUUGGCUUCAAGUUGUGGACCUACGUUUCACCUCCUCUUCAGUGCAAUUUUAGGUCUCAAGAGUUGGCUUCAUGUCAUUGUUAUGCCAUCCGUAAAAUUUAAAGCGGAGAAGAUUUUGCCUCCCAAUUUUGUUUUUGUGCUUUGAUUAUUUUGUAGAGGAUGCAAUAACUUAACUUAUUAGUCUUGAGUAGCUUAAUCCACAUUUUUUUUGUCUACUCAAAUUCCAAUAGAUUCGUGGUUUUUUCCUUUGCCGCCAUUUUGACAACCUACCAAUUACAUAUGAGAAUAAUGUAGAUUCUAUCUCCAUUGUUAAAUUGCAAAUCAAGUUAUGUGAAUUUCAAGA